rnacentral:ribozyme from 1 species
GGCAGCUUGCUAAUAUUCAGCAGAGCUCCGAUACAUGAAACAAAGAAACAAAACACCAACAUUAUAACAACAAAAAAUAAAAAAGAUGGGCCGCAAAUUCGCAACAUUCU